GCCAGAGUUGCUCAGUGGAUAGAGCAUCAGUCCAUGUACUGAAGGUUUGUGGGUUCGAUUCCCAGUCAAGGGCG
rfam:Myotis lucifugus cont2.1220, whole genome shotgun sequence.